CGUAACUAUGCAAUGACUGCUAAUAUUUUCAUGCCGAAUCUCUAUACGGAAAUUGCAAACCAUAAAAACGCGUACAGCGUUCUCCUUUAAUUGAAAUACUCGACGGUAGCCAUAACGUCAGUAAGAAAUCAUUCAGUAAAAUCAACCUCUCGCUAGAUACAUUACCACACAUCACAGAAGCCUUCCUGUAAGCAGUGCCUGUGUUUGGAGAAUAAAAUUGUUCAAGGGUGAUGCUGAGUUCAAGCCCACGCUUUUAGGACAUUAGGGAAUUAGCUUAGUUAGCAAUCCUGAAUCAGAAGAACGCAGCUGGUGUUUUUAUAAUAUGUUUCUCGUUUGGAACUGAAAUAUUAUGCUUUCCCCCCAUUUGUCAUUGGAUUUCUUUGGGGGGGGGGCUACAAUAUAUUUCACAAGAACCAGAAAGCUGAAAGGCUCAACUCCUGAAGAGGAAAACUCUGUAGAAAUCAGACAGUUAGCGAGCUAGCUAGCUAGCUAGUUUAACAGACAUGCUAAGAUGGAAGAGGAACAACGCGUAGUCUGGCUGAAUAGCAAGACAUUUAUUUAUUUAUUUAUUUAUUUAUUUAUUACAUUUUUGAUUUAGAACUUUUUAAAAAAACCCUCGUCUUAUAUCCCUCGUGAAACGCUUGAACAUGGCUGACGUUUUUCACAUUCUUGCCUUGGGCUCCCAUCACCCUGUCGCUGGUUCUCCGGUUGUACCUUCCUUGGACCACUUUUGGUAGGUACAAACCACUGCAUACCGGGAAGAGCUCACAAGAUGCUCAGACCCGGCCGUCGAGGCAUCACAAUUUGGCUCAUAUCAAAGUCACUCAGAUCCUUAUGCUUGCCCAUUUUUCCUGCUUCCAACACAUCAACUUUGAGAAAUGACUUUUCACUUGCUGCCGAAUAAAUAUAUCCCACUCCUUGACAGGUGCCACCGUAACGAGAUAAUCAAUGUUAUUCACGUCACCUGUCAGUGGAUUUAACGUUAUGGCUACUCCCUUUAUAUACUUGUCUAAUGUUAGUUACGCUACCUACAAUUCAUUUCUCAAUAAUGAAUAGACACUAUUCACCGUGACAGAAAGCGAGAAUGCCAAGUCAGGGACUUUCAAGCGGGAAAAACUGAAUCGAGAUGAGAGUACCAAAAAAGAAAAAAGAAAAAAAACAUAACGAAGGUGAGAUGAGGAGAAGGGGGUGGGGCUUGCUCUAGGUGUUUUUCUUUGUAUAUGUGUAUGUUCAUCCUCGAUUAUUUAUCACAUCUGUGGAACACUGCAUGAGUUAUCUACUGUUAUACAAAUGUCAUUCAGCACAGCUAUUCUUCAGGCUCAACUGCCUCAAGGGCCGCCACAACCUUUAAAUCCAUCACACACACACAAAACUACAGAGCUUUUUCUAUCUGAACCAACACUUCACAAUACAAUUAAAAUACAAACGCAUGAACUGCUCCAUGCCUGUCUAACAGCACACACACACACACACACACACACACACACGCACACAAAAUGCAAGCGACUAAGGUCAGUAAUUCAGCUGCCACAGAUCACAUCCAAUCAAAUCCCAGUCAAUUCCUUCGAGGGUAGAGAAAAGACGUAGCCUCCAUUUUAAAGAAAGUUAGAGACAGGGCAGGUCAGUGAAUCUCCAGCGCGUUACGUUUGGCAUAAAUAAAUUCAGCCCAAGACGAUGCAAAAAUUCAUGUUCUAACACGAGACAGCUACUUCAAUGCAUGACAGGAAGUAGAGAAAAAAAAGUCGGGAGAAAAUGUACAAACGCUAACCCUGAUUCUUGCAAACAAUUCUUAGCUUUUCAUACAUUUGCAAUACAUGACUGGGGGGGGGCGGGGGGGGGGGGGGGUUUCAUGCAAAAUCAGUUGUAAAGUCUGCCUACUCGGUGGCCAUCUUGGCAAACCAGACAGGGUUUGAAAUGGUCGCCACGUGUAAAUAAUGAAAAAUGUCAGGUUUCUCUGGCUACUGUUCAAUAACACCAGAACACAGGAUAGCCUGUUUGUUAUAAUGCUAGUUAGUAGAUUAGUCUGUUUAUUAUAAUGCUAACUUUCGAGUUAUCCUGUUUACUUUGAAGCUACUUUAUGCAGUAUUUAGCACCUAUAAGAUACAAUGUUUACUAUAAGGUUCAUUUAUGUUUUAGCCUGUUGUACUGUAAUGCCAUUUCUAGAGUUAUCCAGGUCACUGUAAUGUAGUCCAUGGGUUAGCCUGCUUACUAUAAUGCUAGUAAUACAGUUAGCCUGAUCACUAUAAUGCUAAUCCAUAGCUUAGCCAGUUUACUGUAAUGCUGGUUUAUAUUUUAGCUUGUUUAAUAUAAUGCUAGUUUAUAUUUUAUCUAGUUUACUAUAAUUGUAGGACAAGCUCUUUACUGUAAAACUAGUUCUUGGGUUAGCUGGUUUACUAUUAUGGUAGAAUAUAUUUUAGUCUUUAUACUAGAAUUAUAGGAUAGUUUAUUUUACACCUAAUUUAUGAUUUAGCAUGUUUAUUCUAAUGCUAUUUCUAGAGUUAGCCUGGUCACUAUAAUGAUAGCCUGUUUACUAUAAUUCUAGUUUAUGUUGUAGUCUCAUUUAAUGUAAUGCUAGUUAAUACUUUUACAUCUUUUUAUAUGUCUUUUUAUAUAAUGCUUGCUAGUUUGUGGGUUAGUUCAUUUAAAUGAAAAAUGCUAGUUUAUAUUUUAAUUUGCUUACUAUAUAAUGCUAGUCUGUAGGUUAUCCCCUUUACUGUAAUGCUAGUCUGUAGGUUACUGUAGCCUCUUUACGAUAAUGCUAGUCUGUAGAUUAGCUCCUUUACUACAGGGCUAGUUUCUAUUUUAUUUGUUUACUAUAAUGCUAUUUUGUAGGUUAGCUCGUUUACUACAAUGCUAUAAUCAAUUUGGCAUAAUAAACUGAUUAACCCAAAUGAUCAAUCCAAAUACAUCUCUGCAGGAGUCCACCAACCACUCACUGCCUCGCGUUGCAGUUUUUGCAGAUAUUCUAAUAAUUUGUCGGUUUUCAUGGUUCAGAAAUAGAACGGCCGGUAUUUUUAUGCCAGCAUGCAGAAUGCUGAAAUUGAUCCCAGGAGCUUCUGUUCUAUUUAACCUACUUAAGCAUAAGCGUGUGCAGAAGCCUCAGGGAUUUAACAUUUCCAAGUGUCAAAAUGAAUUAAGCAUCACAGAUACUACUUAAAUCUCUCUCUCUCACUCUCUCUCUCUCUCUCUCACACACACACACACAGAGUAAUAAAAGUUUGUAUUUGAUAUUUAUGCGCUCGGUGCACAGGAAGAAAAGAGAAAUGGAGAAGCAACCUUGGGAAUCCCUUAAUAUUUUGAAUUUUGAGUUGUUGAUGACGAUCAUGUACACAGAAUGGGAGGGAAAGGCAGGGAGGAAAUGUACUUAUUUUCAUUUUUUAAAUACGUGACACCAUUACACUUCACUUGUCCCUAUGUAGCUUUAAUUCACACCUAAGUCUCUCCUAUCAGAUUAACGAAGAGAAACACAGGCAUUUUAUCAUUAUCAGUGGUUGCCUAGGGACAGUGGAUGGAUGAUCACCGAGCGAUGAGCGUGAAGAGGUGCUGUGCGGUCAGACAGCAGACUGAGGUCAGAUUCAUUUUCCUGCCUGGUCAAUAAACACCAACAUGUCAAGCCAUCACACACAACUCCAUUGUUCAUUUCACACAAACUCAUUUAGAGUGUGUCAGUCCAAAUGGUGCUACAGUCGCUUCAUUAAUCCCUGAUUCACUCUUCUCAAACUUCUGAAGGCCUUGAAUUUUCAGAACGGUAGUACUAUCGCCAUGAUUUAUCAGGCUAGCCAUUCAACAGGAAGUAGUGAGGAUGCGGCAGUUUUCGGUGAUGAUACAGAAUCACACCAUCUCAGCAGAUUGCGAGUCGAGAUUAGCGGCCUUAAAAGGGUAACACGAUCCUCUCAUCACCGGGGACAGCCAAUGCCAAAGUUCUGUCAGUGUCAGAAAUGUUUUAUUCAAAUCUCAGCUGCUAUGGCGCUCGUCUAAAAGCCACCAAUAAGAGGACAGCAGUAGCAGGAUUUAACGAAACUCACACAGCUACAAACAUGGGAGCUGAAAUGGUGAAGCGUAAACGAAACAUGGGACGACUCUUUGCUUUUGUAAAAUGUUUUUACUAGACAUAACAUCGUCCGGUUUGGUGAAAUAAAUACUUCUAGUUCUUCAAGCUGAUGUGUCAAGGUUAUAGACAGUCCAUUACACAUACAGUAUACAAGACAAUAAAUACAAAAAGUACAAGACAUUGUGUGCAGACUGUAAUCACAGAUAAUAAAAAUGGUCAAUUAGCCUAUUAUUGUUCUUGCCUUGAGCAGUGCAGAGAUAUGAAAUAGAGCCGCAUGAUAUUACACAGUUCACAGAUGUAGACUGUUGCCCUAAUAGACUUCAGUGAUGUUCAUAUCUGCAUAUCUUUGCACUUCAGUCUGUCUGCAGGGAAACCGGAAAGCAUCGUCGUACAGUACAAGUAACCUGAUAAAACACCUUACGGCAUUUAAGCAGCAUCUUUAAUAGACAGUGUGAGGAUGUAUCGGGAGCAGUAUCAGUGAGCGUAAUCGUUCAAAAUUAGAACAUGGUAUCAAAGAAACAUCAAUCCCGCCGACCAUCCAUCCAUUUUCUGUACCGCUUAUCCGACACAGGGUUACAGAUGAGCCUGGAGACUAUCCCAGGGAACUCGGGGAACAACGCAGGGGACACCGUGGACGGGUUGCCAAGCUAUUGCACGGCACAAUCGCACACUACGGGCAAUUUGGAAAUGCCAAUCAGCCUACGGUACAUGUCUUUGGACUGGGGGAGGAAACUGGAGUACCUGGAGGAAACCCCCGAAGCACAGAGAGAACAUGCAAACGCCACGCAUACAUGGUGGUGGCAGGAUUCAAAACGCCAACCCUGGAGGUGUGAGGCAAACAUGCUAACCACUAAGCCACCGUGCAGUAUAUCACAUACGAUGAUAUUCUAUGUUACCAUGUAGUAUUGGUCCUGUAAUGAUGCAUCCCUAAGUGAAACGAUUAGAUCGAUUCCCAUUACAAGUGGGUGUUUUUCUUGUCAGGCUUUUGAAAGUGCAAAUUCAAAAAGCCGACGGAGACCCCAUUCAUGCUUGGCUUUGGUUUGUCUGUGCGUAGACUAUGAGCAUGCCUGGCUGGAGAGUCGUCGUCAGCAUCGGUAUGACAUCAAUAAAUGGUGAGUCAAACAGCUAGCUACUGCGCUUGAAAGAGCGACAAAACACUUUUAGACUAAUGGCAAGCCAAAAACGCAAUGCCUAAUGCAGGAUCAAGCAUGGACCAAACAGGAAAAGCAGGCACUUAUACCCAGUCAGUCAAACCUGUCACAGUCCAGCCAAUCGUCUGUAAUGUAUUUGUGUCAGUAUCCACUCUCGGCCAUGUUCUGAUGAUGGUUUUGCAGUUCUGUCCUCUGACACACUGGCCACUUUGUAUUCAGCAUGGGAGCUGCUGCCGUUAAUUAGCCUCUGUCUGUCGCUGAGCAGAACCAGCAUAAAUCAAGCCUGCUCUUGCCAGGCCUCAUUAGGGCGCUUUGAGUGACGCUGAGACGGCACAAGGCCAGGCGUUUAAGUCGGAGCACACCCAGCGCUGUUUUUACAGCUCACUUCAGAGCAAUGGAAGGAUGGAGCGGAACGGAGGGGAGGGGAGUCCAAAUGGACUUUUUGGCAAAUGGUUUUGGCGAAAAUAAAUAAAUAAAUAAAAAAUGGGAGCACUUCAAGCACUUCGCUUCCAAAUCUAGCCGGAUAGCAGAUGGAAUAGGAUUGGGGUUAGGCAAAAUUUUCGGAUCGGUUACAGCAAUGGCGUCUACUGUGUGCUAAUAAUGGCCCAAAUUAAUUAUGGCUGGUGUUGAUAUUAGAUGUGAGGGCGAAAAUCUAACAUCUAUCAAUAGCUCAACAAUAAAUCUAGGUCUCAUCGAUGGCAUAAUACGAACGAUAUGGAGCAAAUGAUCACACACAUACACACACUUAACAGCAAAUAGUCAUGAUUUCUAAUUUCUUUCAAAGAGUUUCCGGUCUCUAAAGUGUCCGUAGUGUAUGAAUGGGUGUGUGAGUGUGUAUGUGAUUGUGCCCUGCGAUGGACUGGCACCCUGUCCAGGGUGUACCCCGGCUUGUGCCCGAUGCUCCCUGGUUAGGCUCCAGGUUCCCCUGCGACCCUGAAAAGGAGUAAGCAGUUGAAGAUGGAUGGAUGGAUGGAUGGAUGAGUUUCUGGUCUGUAGUAAUGCCCUACUAGGUUCAUGCCAUAUUUCCUUUGCAGAACAAACAUGAAAAAAGUUGUAACCACAAGCCACCAAAACACCUUCAUUGCACCUUGGCAUCAAUUCUACACGUCUCUGGAACUGUACUGGAGCAUUGAACACUGCUCUUCCAGAAGAUCCUCAAUAUGGUGUUUUCAUAAUAGUGGUGAAGAGCGCUGCCUACUGUAAAGCAUCGAUCCAAAAUCUCCCAACCUGGGUUGAGAUCUGGUGACUGUGAAAACUAUAAUGUGAUUUAUUUCAUUUUCAUCCUCACCAAACCAAUCAGUGAGUAUCCCUUGUGUCACAUGGAUUGAGGGCAGAGGCAUCCUGGAAGAGGCCAUUCCCAUCAGGAUAGAAAUGGAAAUGUAGGAUAAACAUUAAAUCAAUAAUUGCCCUCCAGAGCAUAACAGAGCCACUGGGCACUUUUUAAAAAAAAUAUAUUAUUCCCCUUUAAUUUGUCAUUCAUCUGUAUUGUCUAAUUAUAAAUGUGCAAAGAAUGCAAAGUCUUCACUAACUGAUAACAAGAAAACAGAAUUACGUCUUGAUUGUCCAGCGAUUCAUUUAUUUAUUUUUUUAGUUACUUUUCUUUGUUUCUCAACUUGUUCAGUCAUGCCAUUUGAUGUCUCCAAACUGUGUCCAAACUUGACAUUCAACCAAACCAAUGUUUCUGUGGCAACCAGAAAGGAGCAUGAGUCAUGUGGGGAAUGAGGUGGCCCACUAAACUGGAGCUCCACAUCUCAUGGGCUGGAUAUCACCUCAGAUAUCCAAUAACACUCAUCAAAAGCUAUCAUGAAAUGUCACUGCUUAAGUUUCGAGAGGUGUCCAUUACAGUAUAUUGAACAUUU
ensembl:lncRNA